rnacentral:rRNA from 1 species
GACAGAGGGUGCAAACGUUGCUCGGAAUUACUGGGCGUAAAGCGCGCGCAGGCGGUCUUCCAAGUCAGUGGUGAAAGCCCGGAGCUCAACUCCGGAACUGCCAUUGAAACUGUAAGACUUGAGGAUGAGAGAGGUGAGUGGAAUUCCCAGUGUAGAGGUGAAAUUCGUAGAUAUUGGGAAGAACACCGGUGGCGAAGGCGGCUCACUGGCUCAUUUCUGACGCUCAGGCGCGACAGCGUGGGGAUCAAACAGG